rnacentral:SRP_RNA from 2 species
CGGCAAGUCCUACACAACUAGCUCCUGUUGAAUCCUCCAGGGCGGGAACGCAGCAAAGGUAAAUGGUUGAGCGGUGUGAUGUAGGGAGCUUGCCAUUU